CUGCAGUAUUUACUCUUUGCUACUCCAUCUUUAUCUAGCAGAUCAGGCAAUAAAGAUGACACAUUCCAGUCCUUACCAGAUCUUCCAUUGGUACAUCACAGCCAGAAACCUAUUGGCAGGCAUAUCUGGGAAAUACAGUUCUUUGUGUUGUAGAGUAGAUUAUGAGAAGGAUGAAGUGAAUCUAAAGGAAAACAGAGAAAAGCAUUCUGACAAUCAAAGAAGAGUCAGAUGAUAAAUAGCUUCAGACAUUGACCUUCUAGUGGU